rnacentral:misc_RNA from 1 species
GUUCAAAUCAUCAAUAGGCGAAUUGUUUUGAAUGUUGCAGGAGGCCAAUUCAUUAUUGAAAGUCUCAAGUUCUUCAUUGGUUAAAUUUGAGGGCUCCUCCAAAAUCCAAGUUCCAUUAGCACUAAACUCUUCAAAAUUAAUAGGGUCAUAGUUUCGAUCUUUGAAAUAAUUUUUGGAUAUAAUUAUAUAAAAAAUUAUUAAAGCUUAAAAAAUAUAAGCUAUAAAGAGAGAAUUUCAUAAGUGCAUCAAAAAAUAAUUCAAUUAAUGAAAAAUUAAUACCUUUGUUGUAGCCUUAAAUUAUAAUGAACAUAAACCAAGUCAUUGAGCCUUUGAUGCUCCAAUCUGUUCCUUACUUUGGAGUGGAUCUGUUCAAAAAUACUCCAACUCCUCUCACAACCUGAAGCACUGCAUGUUUGACUUAAAACUCGAAUUGCUAACUUCUGUAAAUUUGGUGCACUGCUUCCAUCACACAACCACCAUUCAUCUGGAGGCAUAAUUGUAUGAUUAUUUGUGGCAGACAUACACCCGAAAUCACCUUCUGCAUUUCUAAAUACCCUCAUCUCAUUUGUUAAGUCGGUUACCAAAAUUGGAUUUCCAUGCCCAUAUGUUUCUAUAACAUCCAAAAGCCUUGAAAUAGUCAAUCUAUGUUUUGACAUUUUAGUAGAAUUAUAUUGAUAGCAAGGGUUUAACCAAUAUCCAGUAGCAUGAAGAUUCUUAUGCAAUUGAGUGUCCAAUCGCGUUUUAAUGAUCUGUAUGUAAGGAGCAAUUCUUUUCUUCCUUUUCUGGAAUCCCCAUACUUU